GACGAACGCUGGCGGCGUGCUUAACACAUGCAAGUCGAACGGAAAGGCCCUGCUUUUGUGGGGUGCUCGAGUGGCGAACGGGUGAGUAACACGUGAGUAACCUGCCCUUGACUUUGGGAUAACUUCAGGAAACUGGGGCUAAUACCGGAUAGGAGCUCCUGCUGCAUGGUGGGGGAUGGAAAGUUUCGGCGGUUGGGGAUGGAUUCGCGGCUUAUCAGCUUGUUGGUGGGGUAGUGGUUUACCAAGGCUGUGAAGGAUAGCCGGCAUGAGAGGGUGACCGGCCACAUUAGGACUGAGAGACGGACCAGACUGCUACGGGAGGCAGCAGUGGGGAAUAUGGCACAACGGGCGGAAGCCUGAUGCAGCAACGCCGCGUGCGGGAUGACGGCCUUCGGGUUGUAAACCGCUUUCGCCUGUGACGAAGCGUGAGUGACGGUAAUGGGUAAAGAAGCACCGGCUAACUACGUG
rnacentral:rRNA from 1 species